GAUGAACGCUGGCGGCGUGCCUAAUACAUGCAAGUCGAGCGAACGGACGAGAAGCUUGCUUCUCUGAUGUUAGCGGCGGACGGGUGAGUAACACGUGGAUAACCUACCUAUAAGACUGGGAUAACUUCGGGAAACCGGAGCUAAUACCGGAUAAUAUUUUGAACCGCAUGGUUCAAAAGUGAAAGACGGUCUUGCUGUCACUUAUAGAUGGAUCCGCGCUGCAUUAGCUAGUUGGUAAGGUAACGGCUUACCAAGGCAACGAUGCAUAGCCGACCUGAGAGGGUGAUCGGCCACACUGGAACUGAGACACGGUCCAGACUCCUACGGGAGGCAGCAGUAGGGAAUCUUCCGCAAAGGGCGAAAGACUGACGGAGCAACGCCGCGUGAGUGAUGAAGGUCUUCGGAUCGUAAAACUCUGUUAUUAGGGAAGAACAUAUGUGUAAGUAACUGUGCACAUCUUGACGGUACCUAAUCAGAAAGCCACGGCUAACUACGUG
rnacentral:rRNA from 1 species